CCUACGGGAGGCUGCAGUGGGGAAUAUUGGACAAUGGGCGCAAGCCUGAUCCAGCCAUACCGCGUGGGUGAAGAAGGCCUUCGGGUUGUAAAGCCCUUUUGUUGGGAAAGAAAAGCAAUCGGCUAAUACCCGGUUGUUCUGACGGUACCCAAAGAAUAAGCACCGGCUAACUUCGUGCCAGCAGCCGCGGUAAUACGAAGGGUGCAAGCGUUACUCGGAAUUACUGGGCGUAAAGCGUGCGUAGGUGGUUGUUUAAGUCUGUUGUGAAAGCCCUGGGCUCAACCUGGGAAUUGCAGUGGAUACUGGGCGACUAGAGUGUGGUAGAGGGUAGUGGAAUUCCCGGUGUAGCAGUGAAAUGCGUAGAGAUCGGGAGGAACAUCCAUGGCGAAGGCAGCUACCUGGACCAACACUGACACUGAGGCACGAAAGCGUGGGGAGCAAACAGGAUUAGAUACCCCUGUAGUC
rnacentral:rRNA from 1 species